UACGUAGGGCGCAAGCGUUGUCCGGAAUUAUUGGGCGUAAAGAGCUCGUAGGCGGUGUGUCACGUCGAUCGUGAAAACUUGGGGCUUAACUCUGAGCUUGCGGUCGAUACGGGCAUCACUGGAGUUCGGCAGGGGAGACUGGAAUUCCUGGUGUAGCGGUGAAAUGCGCAGAUAUCAGGAGGAACACCGGUGGCGAAGGCGGCUCACUGGUCCAUUACUGACGCUGAGGUGCGAAAGCGUGGGGAGCAAACAGG
rnacentral:rRNA from 1 species